rnacentral:tRNA from 1 species
GCUUCCGUAGCUCAGUUGGUUAGAGCUUCGUACUAAUACUUUAGUCCUGCGCUAAGCGUUAGUAAUGCGAAGGUCGCAGGUUCAAGCCCUGCCGGGAGCA